GGAGGGCUGUAUUUAUUAGAUAACAAAUCAAUAUUCCUUGUGUCUAUUGUGAUGAUUCAUAGUAACUGAUCGAAUCGCAUAGGCUUUGCCUGCGAUAAAUCAUUCAAGUUUCUGCCCCAUCAGCUUUCGAUGGUAGUGUAUUGGACUACCAUGGCGUUCACGGGUAACGGAGGAUUAGGGUUCGAUUCCGGAGAGGGAGCCUGAGAAACGGCUACCACAUCUAUGGAAGGCAGCAGGCGCGUAAAUUACCCAAUCCUGAUUCAGGGAGGUAGUG
rnacentral:rRNA from 1 species